AACGAACGCUGGCGGCGUGCCUAAUACAUGCAAGUCGAACGAGAAAGCGUAGCAAUACGUUAGUAAAGUGGCAGACGGGUGAGUAAUACAUAGGUAAUCUACCUUCGAGAUGGGGAUAACCUUCCGAAAGGAGGGCUAAUACCGAAUGAGACCACAGAGAUUAAUUUCUCAGGGGUUAAAGGUGACCUCUAUUUAUAAGUUAUCGCUUGAAGAUGAGCUUAUGCACCANCAGCUAGUUGGUAGGUAAUGGCCUACCAAGGCUUUGACGGUUAGCUGAUCUGAGAGGUUGAUCAGCCACACUGGAACUGAGACACGGUCCAGACUCCUACGGGAGCAGCAGUAGGGAAUAUUGCG
rnacentral:rRNA from 1 species